UCCAUGUGUAUGUUCUUUAAAACAUUUUUUUCCUCUGUUCCAUUAAUUAUUUAUUUUAUUUUAUUUAUAUCCUCCAAUGCAUGUACCCCCAUUUCUUUGAUUCUUUUCUUUGAAGGCAGCAGCAAGUGGUGUAAUAACUAUAAAAGGUUUCAACUGGGGCUGGUUUUACCUUGUCAUUUCUGGAGUCAUAAACAAGUUGAGAAAGUAGUCAUCAAUUCCAUAAAGCUGGGAACUUGUAAAAGAGAAUCAAUUAUUAUAGUCUCUAAGAGCUGUUUUAUCUCUCUUGAGACACCCUUUAUUGUUGAGGUAAUGGAUUUCAAAGAAUUCUUCACUGAAUAUGGUGAAGCCCAUCAAUAUGAAAUUCUUGAGGUUGUUGGCAAGGGAAGCUAUGGUGUUGUUGCAGCAGCAAUUGAUACUCAUACUGGAGAAAAGGUAGCAAUAAAGAAGAUCAAUGAUGUUUUUGAGCAUACCUGUGAAGCCACCCGCAUCCUUAGAGAAAUAAAGCUCCUUCGGUUGCUUCGGCACCCAGAUAUUGUAGAAAUAAAGCAUAUUAUGUUGCCUCCAUGUCCGAGGGAAUUCAAGGAUAUAUAUGUUGUUUUCGAGUUGAUGGAAUGUGACCUUCAGAAUGUAAUUAAAGCAAAUAACAGUCUUACUGCUGAACAUUAUCAAUUCUUUAUGUAUCAGCUUCUUCGAGGGUUAAAGUAUAUGCAUACAGCUAACGUAUUCCAUCGGGAUUUGAAGCCAAAGAACAUUCUAGCAAAUGCAGAUUGCAAGCUGAAAAUUUGUGAUUUUGGGCUUGCUCGGGUAUCAUUUGGAGAUACCCCAUCUGCUGUUUUCUGGACUGACUACGUGGCAACUCGGUGGUACCGUGCUCCAGAACUUUGUGGUUCCUUUUUCUCCAAAGUAAGUAUGAUGUACACUCCAGCAGUUGAUAUCUGGAGUAUAGGAUGUAUAUUUGCAGAAAUGCUUACAGGAAAACCAUUAUUUCCGGGGAAGAAUGCGGUUCACCAAUUGGAUCUCAUAACUGAUUUGCUUGGUUCGCCGUCCACUGAAGCCAUUGCAAGGAUUAAAAAUGAAAAAGCAAGGAGAUAUUUAAGCAGCAUGAAGAAGAAGGCACCUAUCCCUCUCUCCGAGAAAUUCCCCCACAUUGAUCCACUGGCUCUAAAAUUGCUUGAGCGUUUGAUUGCAUUUGAUCCCAAAGAUCGCCCUUCUGCUGAAGAGGCGCUAGCACAUCCAUAUUUCCGUGGUUUGGCAAACAAGGAACAGGAACCAUCAUCUCAGACUAUCUCAAAGUUUGAAUUUGACUUUGACCGAAGAAAACUUGGGAAAGAGGAUCUUAGGGAGCUCAUCUACCGAGAGAUUCUGGAAUAUCACCCUGAGAUGCUGAAGGAGCAUCUUCAUGGCACUGAUCACACUCACUUUAUGUAUCCAAGCGGAGUUGAUUGCUUCAAACAACAAUUUGACCAUCUCGAGGGGCACAAUGGUAGAGGUGGAAGUACUCUCUUUCCAAGACGCUAUGCCUCCUUGCCCAGAGAACGAGUCUGUGCUUCCACGGAUGAGGAAGCUGAUAAGGAUAGUGAAUUCGAAAGGCAUGUUGUAGCUGCUAUGGCUCAGAGAUGCCUUCCAAGCCCCCCGAGUUCCCCUAAGGUCAAAAAACCGGAUACUGCUAAUGCAGUCAAAGGUCAUAUGGAGACUGGCCGUUCUACGCCAAAGAAUAGUACACCAAAGAAUACCGAACGCUGCAUGCUAAGAAGUUCUAGUAUUAGUUUUUCCAAAUGUGUUGGAGCCAUAUGGGACUCCGAGGUAAGUGUUCUGAUCUGUAGUCAAUAAGAAGAAAAACGCAAUAUCAGUCAAUCAAUCAACUAUGCCCCAAUCUAAAUUAGUUGGGCUUACAAGAGCCUGUAUUGUGAAUAUGUAGUUACAAAUAACUCAGCCAAAGUGUAGGAAUUAGAACUAACACCCUUCCAAAUAGAAAAACUUCACAUUUUUCUUUGUUUGAACAAACAAUACAUAAGAAAAAUGCGAGCUCUUCAAACCUCGGAGGAAAAUUGAUAUAUGAAAUGCCCCUAAAAUUUUUUUUUUUUUUUUUUUUGACUUAUUAAACAUCAUAUCAUUAAGAUAUCUAGUUGAGGAUUUCUACAAAGAUGGUAAUUCACACCAUCUAUUCACUGAUAAUUCCCAUUGCCAUUGUUGUCGCCGUCCACCAUUAUCAACUAUUACCACCCACAACCACGAUCUUGGCUCAGCCACAACCAUCGUUUCCCCUGAUCACUACUAUUGCCAGUCACCUUCAACACUCGCUACUACCCACAACCACCACCAUCCUCAAUCGGCACAACCACCACCAUUGCUAGCCAUUAUUGAUAUAGUAGUAGAUUAUUUAGUAUGUUAUUUGAAUUGUAUAUUUAUUAAUUUAAAUAAAGACAAAUUUUAUAAAUUUAGAUAUUCAGACAUUUAAAUCUUAAUAUACAUCUUAAUAUUCAAAUAUAUAUUGAGAUUUAGACGUCUUAAUCUUAAUAAAAAUAAAUGAGGCCUAAAUGUCUGGAUUAAUGGGUGGCAAAAACCUUAGAAGAGCGAUAAUAUGAAUGGGAGAUAGUAUUAAUUUUUGUGCUUGCUCAUAAACUGCAAAUAAAAGGUGCGCAUGAUAAUAGGAAUGUAGAAUUUGCUUUUACCGUAAUAGCUACAUUUCCCUCAGGAUACAACCUGCAAGCCAUAUCAAAACGGGAUAAGUAGAUCAUCGAAGACAGCUUUGUAUGCUUGACCAUUUUUAUUCUACUGGAUGGAUAAGGAAUUGCUAGAUUUCUGGUAAGUGACAUUGAUUGCAAUGUAAUUGCUCAUGUACUCAAAUGGAGUCUUGGUUGGUUGUAUUGUAAACUAUAAACAAUUUAGCUAUGACAUCAUUACUUUGACUUCAGUUGUCUUGUUACUAUUGUACUAAUUUCAUUAAGGCAUUCUGAUGGGAUUUCGAAUA